rnacentral:rRNA from 1 species
GAUGAACGCUAGCGACAGGCUUAACACAUGCAAGUCGAGCGAGCUUGCCUAGAUGAUUUUAGUGCUUGCACUAAAUGAAACUAGAUACAAGCGAGCGGCGGACGGGUGAGUAACACGUGGGUAACCUGCCCAAGAGACUGGGAUAACACCUGGAAACAGAUGCUAAUACCGGAUAACAACACUAGACGCAUGUCUAGAGUUUGAAAGAUGGUUCUGCUAUCACUCUUGGAUGGACCUGCGGUGCAUUAGCUAGUUGGUAAGGUAACGGCUUACCAAGGCAAUGAUGCAUAGCCGAGUUGAGAGACUGAUCGGCCACAUUGGGACUGAGACACGGCCCAA